CAGUAGCCGCGGUAAUACGUAGGUGGCAAGCGCUGUCCGGAAUUAUUGGGCGUAAAGGGCUCGCAGACGGUUUCUUAAGUCUGAUGUGAAAGCCCCCGGCUCAACCGGGGAGGGUCAUUGGAAACUGGGAAACUUGAGUGCAGAAGAGGAGAGUGGAAUUCCACGUGUAGCGGUGAAAUGCGUAGAGAUGUGGAGGAACACCAGUGGCGAAGGCGACUCUCUGGUCUGUAGCUGACGCUGAGGAGCGAAAGCGUGGGGAGCGAACAGGAUUAGAUACCCGGUAGUCCCUGUCUCUUAUACA
rnacentral:rRNA from 1 species